rnacentral:piRNA from 1 species
CUGAUAACUAGGAGAGGGGUCUGAG